rnacentral:rRNA from 1 species
AUUGAACGCUGGCGGCAGGCCUAACACAUGCAAGUCGAGCGAGCGGCGGACGGGUGAGUAAUGUCUGGGAAACUUCCUGAUGGAGGGGGAUUAAUACUUGAAACGGUAGCUAAUUACGGAUACCAUAGGAUGUGCGCCGAUGGGCCUAGCUGGUAGGUGGGGUAACGGCUCACCUAGGCGACGAUCCCUAGCUGGUCUGAGAGGAGGACCAGCCACACUGGACCUGAGACACGGUCCAGACUCCUACGUCAGGCAGCAGUGGGGAAUAUUGCACAAUGGGCGCAAGCCUGAUGCCGCCAGGCGGCGUGUAUGAAGAAGGCCUUCGGGUUUUAGAGUACUUUCAGCGGGGAGGCGUUACCCGCAGAAGAAGCACCGGCUAACUCCGUGCCAGCAGCCGCGGUAAUAC